CUGGCAACCACCAGUCUAUUCUCUGCUUCAACGAUUUCGACUAUUUAAGAUAAGUCAGGCUCAUAGGUGGAAAGAACUUGCCUUGUCUCAGAUGGGACUUUGGACUGUGGACUUUUGAGUUAAUGCUGAAAUGAGUUAAGGUUUUGAGAGACUAUUGGGAAGGCAUGAUUAGUUUUGAAAUGUGAGGACAUGAGAUUUGAGAGUGCCCAUGAGCAGAAUGACAUGGUUUAGCUGUGUCCCCACACAAAUCUCACCUUGAAUUGUAAUAAUCCCCACGUCUCAUGGGAGGGAGCUGGUGGUAGGUAAUUGAAUCAUGGGAUGGGUCUUUCCCAUGCUGUUUUCAUGAUAGUAAAUAAGUCUCAUGAGAUCUGAUGGUUUACUAAAGGGUAGUUCCCAUGAACAAGCUCUCUCACCUGCUUCCAUGGAAGAUGUGAUUUUGCUUUUCAUUCACCUUCAGCCAUGAUUGUGAGGCCUCUUCAACCAUGGGGAGCUGUGAGUCACCCCACAAGGAUAAACUGUGCUGCACCACCAGAAUGUUUAUGCCAAGAAGUUUCUUGUAGCAUCCCCACUUUGGCAACCACUACUGUGUUAUCCUUGAGUAGGACAACAGUAAAGAACAGAAAAAUAGAAAGCACAACAAAGGACUCAUGUGAGAUACUCUUAAAGCACAUCCAGAGCUGAUUCACAACAACCAUGACUAGAGUAAAAAACAAACGAGAACAAUCACAUAAGAUGCCAUGCACAAGAAAAAAACAAACAACCCUAUCAAAAAGUGGGCAAAGGAUAUGAACAGACACUUCUCAAAAGAAGACAUUUAUGCAGCCAAUAAACAUAUGAAAAUAAGCUCAUCAUCACUGGUCAUUAGAGAAAUGCAAAUCAAAACCACGAUGAGAUAUCAUCUCACACCAGUUAGAAUGGCGAUCAUUAAAAAGUCAGGAAACAACAGAUGCUGGCAAGCAUGUGGAGAAAUAGGAAAGCUUUUACACUGUUGGUGGGAGUGU
rnacentral:lncRNA from 10 species